ensembl:lncRNA
CAAGAGGCGGCAGGCUGGAGCGAGGGACUCUGGUGCCGCUCACUCGACCCAUUUUCCCACUGGGCCCUGCAGAGGAGUUUCUGAAAGACUCAAAGUAAUGCCAAGAACUUCCAGGUGAAGGAGACCUUCAUAGACCUGUAACUGGAUUAGCCACUUCUUGAAUUGCAAGAGGAAGUUACAACUAAUUCUCAGGAUCAAAGUCAAAACAAGCCUGUGACUCCAUGAAUACUGAAGGCAACCACGGUAGAUCCCAGAGACCAAAGCCCCAGUGAGCAAGAGGGGCCAGCUUCUUCCCACCUCCGGCCACCAGCCUGUGCUGCCUACAUACGGCCUCCUCUGCUGUAGAACCCAUGGGGAAGCAGCGCACACAAUGGCGUGCGUGUUCCCGGCUUCUGGCUGCUCUGGGCACCCUCAAGGAAGCGUGGAGCAGGGAGGCCUCGAGCAACUUCGAGGCCUUGGUGCCUUCCCUUUGCCCCCCGGAACACUUGAGAGGCAGGAGCUAGGGUGGAGAUUUCUUACCCCACCCAACUUCCUCUUGCAAGUACCGCUGCAACUCUUCCCCAAGAAGAGAG